rnacentral:siRNA from 1 species
UGGUGGCGAGAAGUCGAUGUUGUC